rnacentral:rRNA from 1 species
UACGUAGGCAGCGAGCGUUGUUCGGAGUUACUGGGCGUAAAGGGUGUGUAGGCGGUUUUUUAAGUUUGGUGUGAAAUCUCCCGGCUCAACUGGGAGGGUGCGCCGAAUACUGAAUGACUUGGAGUGCGGGAGAGGUGAGUGGAAUUCCUGGUGUAGCGGUGAAAUGCGUAGAUAUCAGGAGGAACACCGGUGGUGUAGACGGCUCACUGGACCGUAACUGACGCUGAGACACGAAAGCGUGGGUAGCAAACAGG